GACGAACGCUGGCGGCGUGCUUAACACAUGCAAGUCGAGCGGUAAGGCCUUUCGGGGUACACGAGCGGCGAACGGGUGAGUAACACGUGGGUGAUCUGCCCUGCACUUCGGGAUAAGCCUGGGAAACUGGGUCUAAUACCGGAUAUGACCUCCUAUCGCAUGGUGGGUGGUGGAAAGAUUUAUCGGUGCAGGAUGGGCCCGCGGCCUAUCAGCUUGUUGGUGGGGUAAUGGCCUACCAAGGCGACGACGGGUAGCCGACCUGAGAGGGUGACCGGCCACAGUGGGACGGAAACACGGCCAGGACCCCGACGGGGGGCGGCGGGGGGGAAUAUGGCAGAGGGGGCGAAGGCCGGAUCGAGCGACGCCGGGGGGGGGUGGCCGGCCUUCGGGUUGAAAACCUCUUUCAGCGGGGACGAGGCGAAAGGGAGGUUCCCUGCAAAAGAAGCCCGGGCUAACUACGCG
rnacentral:rRNA from 1 species